GCAGCAGGAACAAUAAUUGAUCUACUUCUCCGAGGACUACAUUCACAGAACUUUCUCGUCCUACAUGGGGAUGCUGCAUCAAAGUUGUUUGAAACUUGGCUAUCCAUUUAUGCUGAGAAGACCCUGUAUCUGGCAAGACAGGAGGGGAAGCUGACAUUGCCCUUGGAUGGAUUAACACCAGAUGGUGUUGGGGAACUCGCCCUGAGGCAGUUGCCAGACUUGCUUCCACCUACAACUUACAAAGUUGGCCGUGGCCGCGGUGUGAAAGUAGUUCGCCACACCAUUCAGGAAUGCAGCUUGGCCUUCAUCGACCAUAAGCCUCCUGGAAUAAACAUGGUGGAGUACCAUGAGGCCAAGGCAUGCAAGCCGUACCCCCACAUCCUGACGCUGGGAAAUGAUCAGAGUGCAUUUCAGGCCUUCGUCAUAAUAGCUGGACAGGCCCUGGAACAAGAAACAUUGCUUCAGGCCAUUGAUGUCUGCUUCAAGGCAUUCUUUGUCUUUGACAUUGAAUACCCAAAGCAGUGUGAACGUGUGUGAAUUCAUACAGAAUGUGAUAUAUGAAAUCCCAGGAGGGGAGUCUGAAAUGGUUAAGUUUAUUCAAACUAGAAUACUUGCUUGCAAGUAGAGAUAAUGGCUCUUAAAAGCAGCAUUUUGGGGGAAGUCGUGGCCUAAUGGUUAGAGAGUCGGACUCCCAAUCGAAGGGUUGUGAGUUCGAGUCUCGGGCCGGCAGGAAUUGUGGGUGGGGGGAGUGCAUGUACAGUUCUCUCUCCACCUUCAAUACCAUGACUUAGGUGCCCUUGAGCAAGGCAUCGAACCCCCAACUGCUCCCCGGGCGCCGCAGCAUAAAAUGGCUGCCCACUGCUCCGGGUGUGUGUUCACAGUGUGUGUGUGUUCACUGCUCUGUGUGUGUGCACUUCGGAUGGGUUAAAUGCAGAGCACGAAUUCUGAGUAUGGGUCACCAUACUUGGCUGAAUGUCACGUCACCUCAUUUAGGAAUUUGAAUUUGUUCACUAUAGAGCUGCUGACUUUUGGCCUGUGGAAUGUUCAGCCAGUUCAAUCGAAAUUGUUGUUUUGCUCUGAAUGUUUUCCAGCCUGAGUGAACUGCACCAGUUCCACUAUAUUGUUGAUAUUAAUGUAAUACAUUUUUUCAAAGAUUCCAUUGUUGUUGUAUUGUUUAAGUGUAUAUUGCAUAAAAUAUGCAUAAGUCUAGCAUGUAUUCUGUUCUAGGUUUGUAGUUUCACAGUUUUAUAUGGGUAGUCUAUUGAAAUUUAUUUUCUUAAAUUGUACUGUAAUGUGUUAGACUUAAUCUGGCAUAUGGGUUAAUUUUACCAUCUUAAUAUGUAGUUAAAUCAACCCAUAAUUGUAUUUAAUUUGACCCAGAAUUUGGGUAGAAUAUUUAACUCAUCUGUUGGGUUAAAAACGGCCAACCCAUCUUCCUGGGUUAAAUUAACUACUGUUGGUCUAGUGCAAUAUUGAUCCAGCGGUUGGGUUAUAAAACAACCCAAAUUGGGUUAUUUUUAACCCAUCAUUUUUCUGU
ensembl:lncRNA